GGGCUGUUAGCUCAAUUGGCAGAGCAAAAGGCUUUUAACCUUUAGGUUCCGGGUUCGAGUCCCGGGCGGCCCACCA
rnacentral:tRNA from 1 species